GUUACAGCAACAGGGUUAUCUCCCGUCUCCGGUGCAAGCCACUAUCACCUUUCAAGGCUCAGACCACACCUGCGUUGGGAGCCCCCGCGCUGCAGCGAUGGUGCCCAGCAGGGCCCAGGCUGGGGGCGGAGGAGGACGCAGCCCUUCGGCCCCGAGGGGCCUGGGGAAGGGGCGCCGCGGCAGCUCGGGGGCAGAAGGACGGGUGGAGCCGGAGACCCAGCCCGAUCCCGAUCCCGAUCCCAAGCCCGGAGCCGGAGCCCCCUGUCCCCAGCACCCUGGGCUCUGCACCGGGGCGCCCCGGCCCCGCAGCGGGGCUCCAGCAGGCAGCUGUGUGAGAUUGACAAGACUGACAGCCAAAAACUGAUAUAAUAAGGCAGUGUCUACAGGGACACUACGCCAACAUAAUGAACCCGAUGCCUCUUGUGGACAUGGAGUUUCUGAGGACUUCCUGUCCAUUCUGAAUUCUUCCAUUGUGCAGCAUCACCCUUUCCCAUGGGCAGCAUCUCUUCUCCCUCAAACUGGGACCAGAUCAGAUUGGAUCAGACGCGUCCGAUUCGUACUCAGAUUUCUCUAUCAAGGUGACAGCUUCCUAUUUUGUUCAUAUCUAAAAUACAAUAAAAACUAUUUUAUUAAAUAUGUAAUUGGAAAGAAUAAAACCUAAGUGACUAGAUUAGAA